AUGGCAGUGACGUCAAAGAGUGCCGGGGACAGGGAGCGGAGACACGGAAAAGUGCUGGAGUGGGGUUCUGUGCUUUACAUGCCCCAGGGCAUGGCUCAAUCUGGCAAACCCUGGAGUGAAGCUGCUUUCAGCGUGUGGAGACUGAGUGCCACCGACAGCCUGUUGUCUGUUCGUGCUCAGAGAGUUAUGUGGAAGGACAGGAGUGACUCAGUAAUAGGAAGUAUUAGUUGCACUGAGGCAAAACCAGGAGCCUAUGUGAGAAAACAAUUCUCAAACAAGAAGUCUGUAGAAGAGCAAGGAAAAGCAGCAUUUAAAUCUGCACUGUUCCAGCUGUGCUGCUGUCUCCAGGCAGUCUGACAUCACCUAGCAAGAGAAAAACGUGCUGUACAGCUGUAAUAGGAUUAAGCAGUGUAAACCUACAAGCAGAAAUGUGAUUAAUACAGGGUGUUUCAAAGCCCUGCAGUGCUUAUAUUGCUAUACUGAGAAAACGAGUCUGAUCAUUAGAAAUAUUUUCA
rnacentral:lncRNA from 7 species